rnacentral:rRNA from 1 species
CUAGCUGUAAACGAUGGAUACUAGGCGUUGAGAGUAUCGACCCUCUCAGUGUCGUAGCUAACGCGUUAAGUAUCCCGCCUGGGAAGUACGCGCGCAAGCGUGAAACUCAAAGGAAUUGACGGGGGCCCGCACAAGCGGUGGAGUAUGUGGUUUAAUUCGAUGCAACGCGAAGAACCUUACCAGGGCUUGACAUGUCCGGAACCCUGCCCAAAGGCGGGGGUGCCUACGGGAACCGGAACACAGGUGGUGC